AGUGAACGCUGGCGGUAGGCCUAACACAUGCAAGUCGAACGGCAGCACAGUAAGAGCUUGCUCUUACGGGUGGCGAGUGGCGGACGGGUUAGGAAUACAUCGGAAUCUACUUUUUCGUGGGGGAUAACGUAGGGAAACUUACGCUAAUACCGCAUACGACCUACGGGUGAAAGCAGGGGAUCUUCGGACCUUGCGCGAUUGAAUGAGCCGAUGUCGGAUUAGCUAGUUGGCGGGGUAAAGGCCCACCAAGGCGACGAUCCGUAGCUGGUCUGAGAGGAUGAUCAGCCACACUGGAACUGAGACACGGUCCAGACGCCUACGGGAGGCAGCAGUGGGGAAUAUUGGACAAUGGGCGCAAGCCUGAUCCAGCCAUACCGCGUGGGUGAAGAAGGACUUCGGGUUGUAAAGCCCUUUUGUUGGGAAAGAAAAGCAGCAGGUUAAUACCCCGCUGUUCUGACGGUACCCAAAGAAUAAGCACCGGCUAACUUCGUG
rnacentral:rRNA from 1 species